rnacentral:rRNA from 1 species
UACGAAGGGGGCUAGCGUUGCUCGGAAUGACUGGGCGUAAAGGGCGCGUAGGCGGUUUGUACAGUCAGGUGUGAAAUUCCCGGGCUCAACCUGGGGGCUGCACUUGAUACGGAUGGACUGGAGUGGGGAAGAGGGUCGUGGAAUUCCCAGUGUAGAGGUGAAAUUCGUAGAUAUUGGGAAGAACACCGGUGGCGAAGGCGGCAUCCUGGACCAAUUCUGACGCUGAGGAGCGAAAGCCAGGGGAGCAAACGGG